AUAUAAAUAGGUAUACUCUUAAUUUAGAGCUUAGUCUUAUACUCCUCAUUGACUUGAUUCUUUGACCGAAUACUCCUGCAUAUUCAAAUAUCAACGAGGUCUACUUCCCUUUCAUCUUCCCGAGCUCGGUAAAAUAAGACAUCCUACGUACAGGGACCGAUAUAAUCGAAUAACAUCACCCCACAAAAGUUUCUGGCCUCAUGUUAAUGAUAUGAACAAUCUUCUCUUGAAAAUGAUGCUAAUAUCUUUAGUUCUCUUCGUUGGAACUGAAGCAUUUUACAGCCACACAUGCUCACAAAGGUGUAUCAUGGUCAGUUGUCGUAGCCAAUUUAGUGUUCCUUGUAAAAGAAAAUGCAAAUGUGACUGUUUGACGGCUCAGAAUGUCAAACUCGACGAGGAACAAAAGAAGUAUUGCUCAAAAUCAUGAAAAUAAACCAAUUUCAAACUCAAUAUGACUCUACGGUUGCUUUUUGAAAUUAUUUUCUGUUAAGGAAAACUGAUAUUAUUUGAACAUUAUUUAUUAUUUAAUUUCGAAAUAAAUAAAAAAUUAUCACAUUA